rnacentral:rRNA from 1 species
UACGGGGGGGGCAAGCGUUGUUCGGAAUUACUGGGCGUAAAGGCUCGUAGGCGGCCAACUAAGUCAUACGUGAAAUCCCUCGGCUUAACCGGGGAACUGCGUCUGAUACUGGAUGGCUUGAGUUCGGGAGAGGGAUGCGGAAUUCCAGGUGUAGCGGUGAAAUGCGUAGAUAUCUGGAGGAACACCGGUGGCGAAGGCGGCAUCCUGGACCGAUACUGACGCUGAUGAGCGAAAGCCAGGGAGCAACGGG